rnacentral:lncRNA from 12 species
AUGCUAUGUCCAUCGCGAGUGAGCUAUGGCUCUGCUUCACGGCCUCCUGCCUUGGGAUUCAGGCUGACAGAGAAGCUUCUAUCUGGAACACUGGAGCAGAGGGAAAAGAGAGCUUGGCAAAGCCCAAACUGGCUCUUAGAGCUGGACGUGACACACAUUACUUGUCACCUUCCAUUGGCCAAAUCAGGUCGCAUGGCCAAGCCCAACAUGAUUAGGAAGAGAAACUCUUACUCUCCCCUAAGCAGACGCAGGAGAGCUUCAGGUGUACUCGCUAGGAGCCAGUGUGGAAGGUCGCAGGAGAAGACCCUUGUCAUAGCAAGACAACCUGCUGUGAAAGUUGGAGAGCACCAAGACUGCAGUCUGGAGACCAGGGCUCUUCUGCCACCGCUUGCAGCCCCCAGAGUGUCUCCCAACCACUCCUCCUUUGAAGUAAAAACCACUGGCUAAACAGUCACCAGACCGGAGAUGUUUUGGGUUCUGACAACUCCCUGUAUUUCUGGUAGCUUCCACGUGUCUCGCUCUUAUCUUCCUGACUCCAACCGUAAGCUCACUCAGGCUGGGGCUCUAUUUUUGUAUCCUCUCCCCCACCUUACUCUAUAUCAGUUCCAUCCAGUAACAAUCCGCCCUCUGAGGGCUGUAGGAUCCCUCAUUGAAGAUCCUGGGUCCAGCCGAAGAACACGGUGUCGGAGGACAAAGUUCAGUUCUCCUCCGAGAGCCCUGCACCUGUGUCCCUCCUGCCAGCACCUGGGGCCCAGGACUGACUCACCGAGUCAACAUCUCUCGCAUCUGCUUGGUGGAUUCCCAAACCCUGACACCACGUGAAGCCCUUGGAAGACUCGUGGUUUAUUUUACUAAAAAUAAGCUGGAUAUUGAAGCAGCAAGUUGAAAAGCAAAGCAACGGGGUCAUUGUUUAUUUUGGGAGAAAUAUAAAAAUUCUGUUAAUGCCGUGUGAUUGGUGAUCAGCACCAGAAGGACCAAUGAGGGGCCCUUAGUAAACCGGGCCGCCGGAAGGACUGCGCAGAGGUAUCGUAAACCCCGCCGGGGGUUAUCUGCCAAGGAGGGUGCAGCUUAUCACCAUGGAUGUUUUUGCCAGGCAGCUCGUGCACUUUAACCUGCUGUUGCAACUGGGGUCACGCGCAGGAGCCACAGGAUCUGGGCCCCCCCGUGCGGCCAAGCCAGACCGGGGCCUGGUGUCAGCUGCGUGCUCCGACCUGCCGGCGAGGCGCAGGCUGGAGAGGGGUGGCAGCGCCCAGCGGGCUGCUGUGACGCCAGUGGGAGAUGCGGUCCAGGCGGAGCCAGGCUUCUCCCCUGCAGAAAGGGGAGGCCAGGGUCGAGGCCUUGGUCUCCCCUGGAGGGAAAUGGCGUAGCACGGUCCAGGGCAGUGACACCCCAUUUCUUGACCUACCCACCUGUGUGUUCUGUGUAUGCCCAGAGUGCUGGGCCCUGGGCUGCUCUGCAUCUCGCCCAGGCUGCCGGUUUAAUAAAUGUGUGAAUCAGAAAGUGUGAUUAGCCA